GAAUCCGGUUGAUCCUGCCGGACCCGACCGCUAUCGGGGUGGGGCUAAGCCAUGCGAGUCGUGCGCCCCGGGCUGGCGGGGCGCGGCGCACGGCUCAGUAACACGUGGCCAACCUACCCU
rnacentral:rRNA from 1 species